rnacentral:piRNA from 1 species
UGUGAAGGAAGAGGCCUAGUGAUGAUGUGU